CAGAGCUGUCAACAAACAGGAGUCCAAGCGGGGCCAGUAAAUUGAACCAGCAUAGGACAGUGAUGCUGACAGGUGGGGCAGUCACACUGUAACUAUUGCUGUUAUUGGAAGAACCAAAAGGAGCUGACACCUCAGAGAGUCACACAUCUGGACAGUAACUCCACACAGCUGAAGUUCAACCGAUAACACACCAUAAAGCUGAAGGGCAG
rnacentral:lncRNA from 1 species